GACGAACGCUGGCGGCGUGCUUAACACAUGCAAGUCGAACGGAAAGGCCCUGCUUUUGUGGGGUGCUCGAGUGGCGAACGGGUGAGUAACACGUGAGUAACCUGCCCUUGACUUUGGGAUAACUUCAGGAAACUGGGGCUAAUACCGGAUAGGAGCUCCUGCUGCAUGGUGGGGGUUGGAAAGUUUCGGCGGUUGGGGAUGGACUCGCGGCUUAUCAGCUUGUUGGUGGGGUAGUGGCUUACCAAGGCUUUGACGGGUAGCCGGCCUGAGAGGGUGACCGGCCACAUUGGGACUGAGAUACGGCCCAGACUCCUACGGGAGGCAGCAGUGGGGAAUAUUGCACAAUGGGCGGAAGCCUGAUGCAGCAACGCCGCGUGCGGGAUGACGGCCUUCGGGUUGUAAACCGCUUUCGCCUGUGACGAAGCGUGAGUGACGGUAAUGGGUAAAGAAGCACCGGCUAACUACGUGCCAGCAGCCGCGGUGAUACGUAGGGUGCGAGCGUUGUCCGGAUUUAUUGGGCGUAAAGGGCUCGUAGGUGGUUGAUCGCGUCGGAAGUGUAAUCUUGGGGCUUAACCCCUGAGCGUGCUUUCGAUACGGGUUGACUUGAGGAAGGUAGGGGAGAAUGGAAUUCCUGGUGGAGCGGUGGAAUGCGCAGAUAUCAGGAGGAACACCAGUGGCGAAGGCGGUUCUCUGGGCCUUUCCUGACGCUGAGGAGCGAAAGCGUGGGGAGCGAACAGGCUUAGAUACCCUGGUAGUCCACGCUGUAAACGGUGGGUACUAGGUGUGGGGUCCAUUCCACGGGUUCCGUGCCGUAGCUAACGCUUUAAGUACCCCGCCUGGGGAGUACGGCCGCAAGGCUAAAACUCAAAGGAAUUGACGGGGCCCCGCACAAGCGGCGGAGCAUGCGGAUUAAUUCGAUGCAACGCGUAGAACCUUACCUGGGUUUGACAUGGAUCGGGAGUGCUCAGAGACGGGUGUGCCUCUUUUGGGGUCGGUUCACAGGUGGUGCAUGCCUGUCGUCAGCUCGUGUCGUGAGAUGUUGGGUUAAGUCCCGCAACGAGCGCAACCCUUGUUCACUGUUGCCAGCACGUUAUGGUGGGGACUCAGUGGAGACCGCCGGGGUCAACUCGGAGGAAGGUGGGGAUGACGUCAAGUCAUCAUGCCCCUUAUGUCCAGGGCUUCACGCAUGCUACAAUGGCUGGUACAGAGAGUGGCGAGCCUGUGAGGGCGAGCGAAUCUCGGAAAGCCGGUCUCAGUUCGGAUUGGGGUCUGCAACUCGACCUCAUGAAGUCGGAGUCGCUAGUAAUCGCAGAUCAGCAACGCUGCGGUGAAUACGUUCCCGGGGCU
rnacentral:rRNA from 1 species